GAAGGGGCCAAGCGUUGUUCGGAAUUAUUGGGCUUAAAGAGCGCGUAGGCGGGAAGUUAAGUGUCUUGUGAAAUCCCUUGGCUCAACCAAGGAACUGCUCGGCAAACUGACUUUCUUGAGGCAAGUAGAGGUGCAUGGAACUCUAGGUGGAGCGGUGAAAUGCGUAGAUAUCUAGAGGAACGCCAGUGGUGAAAACGGUGCACUGGGCUUGAUCUGACGCUGAGGCGCGAAAGCGUGGGGAGCGAACGGGGGAUUAGAUACCCCGGUAGUCCACGCUGUAAACGAUGUCUACUAGGUUGCGGGAGGUCUGACCCCCUGUCGCAGCCGAAGCAAAAGUGAUAAGUAGACCGCCUGGGGAUACGGUCGCAAGGCUA
rnacentral:rRNA from 1 species